rnacentral:rRNA from 1 species
AUGAUCGCUGCUAGAGGAUCACAAAAAAGGGUCUGCCCAAAUUGCAAAGAUGACAACACAAAGCUCGGUGCCACACUAGAAUUACUGCAAUGGAAGGCAGGCAAUGGUGUAUCUGAGAACGGAUUUGGGAAGCUACUGAAAAUAUUGAAGAAGAAGCUUCCAAAGGAUAACGAAUUGCCCGACAGUACAUACAAAGCAAAGAAGUUUCUAUGCUCGCUAGGAUUGGAGGUGCAGAAGAUACAUGCAUGCCCUAAUGACUGCAUCCUCUACCGCGAUGAGUAUGAGGAUUUGAACGCAUGCCCACUAUGCAGUGCAUUGCGGUAUAAGAUCAGAUGA